CGUGAGCGGCGGACGGGUGAGUAACGCGUGGGUAACCUGCCUCAUACAGGGGGAUAACAGUUGGAAACGGCUGCUAAUACCGCAUAAGCGCACAGUACCGCAUGGUACGGUGUGAAAAACUCCGGUGGUAUGAGAUGGACCCGCGUCUGAUUAGGUAGUUGGUGGGGUAACGGCCCACCAAACCGACGAUCAGUAGCCGGCCUGAGAGGGCGACCGGCCACAUUGGGACUGAGACACGGCCCAA
rnacentral:rRNA from 1 species